UCUCUUUUAUCACAUCAAUAUUACAAGCAGUUCCCUUUCCAAUACAAAUACAUAAAAGGGUCAACUAUUAUAACUCUCCUUAGCAAAAACGUUCUUUAUUUAUCAAAGUCAACAAAGUACAAUAUGAUCAUUGGUCAAAAAUAGUUAGUCAAUUAUAUUUCCAUUUGUUUUAUGUAGAAAAUACAAGUCUCAUUUUGCACAGUCACAAUUUUUUUUCAUGAUAAUUGUCAGUAAGGUCAGGUCAGGUCAAGUUAGGUAAGGUAAGGUAGGAUAGGUAUGGUAAGUUAGGUUAGGUUAGGUUAGGAAAGGUAGGUUUGAUUAGAUUAGGUUAGGUAAGGUAAGGUUAGGCGGGGUAAGGUAAGAUAGGGUGGGUUGUUAGGUAUGGUAAGGUAAGGUAUGGUAGGGUAGGUUAGGUUAGUUAAGGUAUAUUGGUUGGUAAGGUAAGGUUAGGUAAGGUAAGGUAAGAUAAGGUAAGGUAGGGUAGGGUAGGUUAGUUAAGGUAUAUAGGUUGGUAAGGUAAGAUAAGGUAAGGUAAGGUAGGGUAGGUUAAGUUAGGUAAGGUAAGGCAAGGCAAGGUAAGGUUAGGUAAGGUAGGGUAGGUUGUUAGGUAAGGUAAGGUUAGGUAAGGUAGGGUAGGUUGUUAGGUAAGGUUAGGUAAGGUAGGGUAGGUUGUUAGGUAAGGUAAGGUAAGGUUAGGUUAAGGUAGGUAAGGUUAGGUUAAGGUAAGGUAUGGCAAGGUAAGGUAAGGUAAGGUAAGAUAAGGUAGGGUAAGGCAAGGCAAGCAAGGCAAGGUAAGGUAAGGUUAGGUAAGGUAGGGUAGGUUGUUAGGUAAGGUAAGGUAAGGUUAGGUUAAGGUAGGUAAGGUUAGGUUAAGGUAAGGUAUGGCAAUGUAAGGUAAGGUAAGGUAAGGUAAGGUAAGGCAAGCAAGGCAAGGUAAGGUAAGGUUAGGUAAGGUAGGGUAGGUUGUUAGGUAAGGUAAGGUAAGGUAGGGUAGGUUGUUAGGUAAGGUAAGGCAAGGUUAGGUUAAGGUAGGUAAGGUUAGGUUAAGGUAAGGUAAGGUAAGGUACAUCAUAAUGGGUGCAAUCCUGAAUCAUUUGUUACACCACUUGGGUUUCUACAUAUCCUGAUAACAUAUGUAAAAAAUAAAUAAAUAAAUAAAUAAAUAAAAAAAGACUGCUGGGAGACUUGGCUAACAACUAGAAGGGGAAGAAUGAGGAAGAAUGUAAUUAUAGACAUGUAAGGAAGGAAAGGAGGAGGAGGAGGACUAGAAAAGAAGAUGGGGGAAGAUGGGAAGCUGUGAAUGAGAGGAAGAGAGGGAAAAUAGGGAAGAAAGGGAGGUGUGAGAAAAGAAGAAGGGAGGGAGGUAGGAGGAUAGACGUGUAAGGAAGGAAAGGAGGAGGAGGAGGAGGACUAGAAAAGAAGAUGGGGGAAGACGGGAAGCUGUGAAUGAGAGGAAGAGGGAAAAUAGGGAAGAGAGGGAGGUGUGAGAAAAGAAGAAGGGAGGGAGGUAUGAGGAUAGACGUGUAAGGAAGGAAAGGAAGAAGAGGAGGAGGAGGAAAAAGGCUGUAGAAAAGAACAGAGGUAUAAGAAAGAAGAAGAAAGGAUGUAGAAGGGAAAGGAAGGGAGGAGAAAGAAAGGAGAGAAAGGAUAUCAUAAGGAAGUAUAGGAAAGAAGAGGAGAAGGAGGAAGAGAAAGGCUGUAGAAAAGAAGAACAGAGGUAUAAGAAAGAAGAAAGGAUGUAGAAAGGAAGGAAGGGAGGAGAAAGAAAGGAGAGAAAGGAUAUCAUAAGGAAGUAUAGGAAAGAAGAGGAGAAGAAGGAGGAAAUCGACAGCCAGGAAACGCAACCAGUAAAGGAAAAUGGGAAAAAAUCAAAUAAAAACUAAAGAAA